ACGGGAGGCAGCAGUGGGGAAUAUUGCACAAUGGGGGAAACCCUGAUGCAGCAACGCCGCGUGAGUGAAGAAGUAUUUCGGUAUGUAAAGCUCUAUCAGCAGGGAAGAAAAUGACGGUACCUGACUAAGAAGCCCCGGCUAACUACGUGCCAGCAGCCGCGGUAAUACGUAGGGGGCAAGCGUCAUCCGGAUUUACUGGGUGUAAAGGGAGUGUAGACGGCGAGACAAGUCUGAAGUGAAAGCCCGGGGCUCAACCCCGGGACUGCUUUGGAAACUGCCUUGCUAGAGUGCUGGAGAGGUAAGUGGAAUUCCUAGUGUAGCGGUGAAAUGCGUAGAUAUUAGGAGGAACACCAGUGGCGAAGGCGGCUUACUGGACAGUAACUGACGUUGAGGCUCGAAAGCGUGGGGAGCAAACAGGAUUAGAUACCCUGGUAGUCCACGCCGUAAGCGAUGAAUGCUAGGUGUUGGGGAGCAAAGCUCUUCGGUGCC
rnacentral:rRNA from 1 species